rnacentral:rRNA from 1 species
GAUGAACGCUAGCGGCAGGCCUAACACAUGCAAGUCGAGGGGUAGAGGAAGCUUGCUUCCUUGAGACCGGCGCACGGGUGCGUAACGCGUAUGCAAUCUACCUUUUACAGAGGGAUAGCCCAGAGAAAUUUGGAUUAAUACCUCAUAGUAUCUUUGCCUGGCAUCGGGUGAUUAUUAAAGUUCCAACGGUAAAAGAUGAGCAUGCGUCCUAUUAGCUAGAUGGUAAGGUAACGGCUUACCAUGGCAACGAUAGGUAGGGGUCCUGAGAGGGAGAUCCCCCACACUGGUACUGAGACACGGACCAGACUCCUACGGGAGGCAGCAGUGAGGAAUAUUGGACAAUGGGCGCAAGCCUGAUCCAGCCAUGCCGCGUGCAGGAAGACGGUCCUAUGGAUUGUAAACUGCUUUUGUACGGGAAGAAACACUCCUACGUGUAGGAGCUUGACGGUACCGUAAGAAUAAGGAUCGGCUAACUCCGUGCCAGCCGCCGCAGUAACAC